UUUAUGGAGAGUUUGAUCCUGGCUCAGGAUGAACGCUGGCGGCGUGCCUAAUACAUGCAAGUCGAGCGAACGGACGAGAAGCUUGCUUCUCUGAUGUUAGCGGCGGACGGGUGAGUAACACGUGGAUAACCUACCUAUAAGACUGGGAUAACUUCGGGAAACCGGAGCUAAUACCGGAUAAUAUUUUGAACCGCAUGGUUCAAAAGUGAAAGACGGUCUUACUGUCACUUAUAGAUGGAUCCGCGCUGCAUUAGCUAGUUGGUAAGGUAACGGCUUACCAAGGCAACGAUGCAUAGCCGACCUGAGAGGGUGAUCGGCCACACUGGAACUGAGACACGGUCCAGACUCCUACGGGAGGCAGCAGUAGGGAAUCUUCCGCAAUGGGCGAAAGCCUGACGGAGCAACGCCGCGUGAGUGAUGAAGGUCUUCGGAUCGUAAAACUCUGUUAUUAGGGAAGAACAUAUGUGUAAGUAACUGUGCACAUCUUGACGGUACCUAAUCAGAAAGCCACGGCUAACUACGUGCCAGCAGCCGCGGUAAUACGUAGGUGGCAAGCGUUAUCCGGAAUUAUUGGGCGUAAAGCGCGCGUAGGCGGUUUUUUAAGUCUGAUGUGAAAGCCCACGGCUCAACCGUGGAGGGUCAUUGGAAACUGGAAAACUUGAGUGCAGAAGAGGAAAGUGGAAUUCCAUGUGUAGCGGUGAAAUGCGCAGAGAUAUGGAGGAACACCAGUGGCGAAGGCGACUUUCUGGUCUGUAACUGACGCUGAUGUGCGAAAGCGUGGGGAUCAAACAGGAUUAGAUACCCUGGUAGUCCACGCCGUAAACGAUGAGUGCUAAGUGUUAGGGGGUUUCCGCCCCUUAGUGCUGCAGCUAACGCAUUAAGCACUCCGCCUGGGGAGUACGACCGCAAGGUUGAAACUCAAAGGAAUUGACGGGGACCCGCACAAGCGGUGGAGCAUGUGGUUUAAUUCGAAGCAACGCGAAGAACCUUACCAAAUCUUGACAUCCUUUGACAACUCUAGAGAUAGAGCCUUCCCCUUCGGGGGACAAAGUGACAGGUGGUGCAUGGUUGUCGUCAGCUCGUGUCGUGAGAUGUUGGGUUAAGUCCCGCAACGAGCGCAACCCUUAAGCUUAGUUGCCAUCAUUAAGUUGGGCACUCUAAGUUGACUGCCGGUGACAAACCGGAGGAAGGUGGGGAUGACGUCAAAUCAUCAUGCCCCUUAUGAUUUGGGCUACACACGUGCUACAAUGGACAAUACAAAGGGCAGCGAAACCGCGAGGUCAAGCAAAUCCCAUAAAGUUGUUCUCAGUUCGGAUUGUAGUCUGCAACUCGACUACAUGAAGCUGGAAUCGCUAGUAAUCGUAGAUCAGCAUGCUACGGUGAAUACGUUCCCGGGUCUUGUACACACCGCCCGUCACACCACGAGAGUUUGUAACACCCGAAGCCGGUGGAGUAACCUUUUAGGAGCUAGCCGUCGAAGGUGGGACAAAUGAUUGGGGUGAAGUCGUAACAAGGUAGCCGUAUCGGAAGGUGCGGCUGGAUCACCUCCUUUCU
rnacentral:rRNA from 1 species